GAUGAACGCUGGCGGCGUGCCUAAUACAUGCAAGUCGAGCGAACAGAUGAGGAGCUUGCUCCUCUGACGUUAGCGGCGGACGGGUGAGUAACACGUGGAUAACCUACCUAUAAGACUGGGAUAACUUCGGGAAACCGGAGCUAAUACCGGAUAAUAUAUUGAACCGCAUGGUUCAAUAGUGAAAGACGGUUUUGCUGUCACUUAUAGAUGGAUCCGCGCCGCAUUAGCUAGUUGGUAAGGUAACGGCUUACCAAGACAACGAUGCGUAGCCGACCUGAGAGGGUGAUCGGCCACACUGGAACUGAGACACGGUCCAGACUCCUACGGGAGGCAGCAGUAGGGAAUCUUCCGCAAUGGGCGAAAGCCUGACGGAGCAACGCCGCGUGAGUGAUGAAGGUCUUCGGAUCGUAAAACUCUGUUAUUAGGGAAGAACAAAUGUGUAAGUAACUAUGCACGUCUUGACGGUACCUAAUCAGAAAGCCACGGCUAACUACGU
rnacentral:rRNA from 1 species